rnacentral:rRNA from 1 species
AGCAGCCGCGGUAAUUCCAGCUCCAAUAGCGUAUAUUAAAGUUGUUGCAGUUAAAAAGCUCGUAGUUGAAUUUCGGGAUCAAUAUGUUGGUCGUGCCUUGGUACGUACUGGCAUUAUCGAUUCCUACCUUCUGAAGAACCUCGAUGUCAUUAAUUUGGUGUCUUGGGGAAUCAGGACUGUUACUUUGAAAAAAUUAGAGUGUUUAAAGCAGGCUCGCGCUUGAAUACAUUAGCAUGGAAUAAUGAAAUAGGACGUUUGAUUCUAUUUUGUUGGUUUCUAGGAUCGACGUAAUGAUUAAUAGGGAUAGUUGGGGGCAUUAGUAUUCAAUUGUCAGAGGUGAAAUUCUUGGAUUUAUUGAAGACUAACUACUGCGAAAGCAUUUGCCAAGGAUGUUUUCAUUAAUCAAGAACGAAAGUUAGGGGAUCGAAGACGAUCAGAUACCGUCGUAGUCUUAACCAUAAACUAUGCCGACUAGGGAUCGGAUGAUGUUAAUU